GACGUAGGGCGCGAGCGUUGUCCGGAUUUAUUGGGCGUAAAGAGCGCGUAGGCGGUCCGGUAAGUCGGUUGUGAAAAGUCGGGGGGCUCAACCCUCGGAUGCCGAUCGAUACUGUCGGGCUAGAGUCCGGAAGAGGCGAGUGGAAUUCCUGGUGUAGCGGUGAAAUGCGCAGAUAUCAGGAGGAACACCAAUGGCGAAGGCAGCUCGCUGGGACGGUACUGACGCUGAGGGCGCGAAAGCGUGGGAGCGAACAGG
rnacentral:rRNA from 1 species